rnacentral:rRNA from 1 species
UCCGAAGGGGGCUAGCGUUGCUCGGAAUCACUGGGCGUAAAGCGCACGUAGGCGGAUUGUUAAGUCAGGGGUGAAAUCCUGGAGCUCAACUCCAGAACUGCCUUUGAUACUGGCGAUCUUGAGUCCGGGAGAGGUGAGUGGAACUGCGAGUGUAGAGGUGAAAUUCGUAGAUAUUCGCAAGAACACCAGUGGCGAAGGCGGCUCACUGGCCCGGUACUGACGCUGAGGUGCGAAAGCGUGGGGAGCAAACAGG